rnacentral:lncRNA from 1 species
GCCAAAAAGACGCUAAUGGAUGAAAUGCUUUGCACAUAUGGGAUGGAAAAUUGUGCUCGGCUAAGUCAAAAAGCAGCUCCUGAAGAACGUAAUGUGGCUGCGGCUUCACAGGUGCCUGACCGUGCCAAAGAAGAUCUCCUCCUUCUCACCCUUUUAUCCACACACAGGAGCAUUGAAGAACCAAACAGCUCUCAUCUCAACUUCCUC